rnacentral:rRNA from 1 species
CGCCUGUUUUACAAAAACAUAGCCUAUAACUUAACUUUAGGUACAACCCUGCCCUCUGAAAUUUUAACAGCCGCGGUAUCCUAACCGUGCUAAGGUAGCAUAAUCAUUUGCCUAUUAAUUAUAGGCUAGCAUGAACGGGAUCACUCACUUAAAUUUAUUUUCACUACAAUUAAAAUUAAACUUUAAGUUAAAAUACUAAAUUUUUAAGAAAGACAAAAAGACCCUGAAAACUAUUAGAAGAUAAUUAGUUGGGGCAACUAUAGACCAUAAACAGCGUCUAUUAAAAUUCGAAUUUUAAAAUUCAAAGCACACAGUUACUUCAGGGAUAACAGACUAAUUGUAUUAUUUAGACCUAAUAAAUAAUAAAGAUUGGCACCUCGAUGUUGGCUUAUAAUUCCUUCAUAUAGUAACAUAUAUUGAUGGCAGCUGUGUUCAUCUGAUAAAUAUUUACAUGAGCUGAGUUCAAACCGGCGUAACAA